rnacentral:lncRNA from 1 species
GAUUCCGUUCUCAGAUGACGAACUUGAGUAUAUUGAAAAACUUGAACCAGGCAAAGAUUGUGAUAUGCUGCGGAUGGAGCUCCCAACGAUCAGAGAUGCUUGUCUACGGGUCCUGGUUCUCUGCACAAUUUUUCUCAAGGAAGCUGCCUCCUCUGGUCUCUGUCUUGCUGAAAUUGGUGAGAUGAUGAGCAGGGAGUUCCGUGCUGGGGAGGAGGAACCCAGUGAGCUUGAGGCUGUGUGCAUUGAGGCAAGGAGGUUAAUAGCUGAGAGGGAGGUGUUUUCUCCCCGGGGUUAUUUGGGAGAUGAUCAAGAUUUCCAAUUUGAUUUAGACUGUGAUGAAACACAUUAUGACUUCACCCCAAAGCUAACAGCAGAUGACUACCUGACUAGGUCACCAUUCCAAUUUGGAAUUGGAUCUGGGAGUGGUCGCUUCCUGCUUUCCAAAUUGGAGGAAAGCAUUGAGGAAGAGGAAAGUGAAGGGGAGGAAGAGCAGGAGUGUUUUACUGCCCUGCGCACUCCUGAAAAAUUCCCUACCAUUUCAAAACUUUCCAUGUCACUGAAGAGCAGUACCACAUUAGGUGACAAGAACCAGAAGUUCUCAGGAACAAAACCAGAAACUGGCUAUCUUAGUAAUAGAUCAUCUGGUCACAGGAGCGCUAACGAGCAGCUCCCUGCGAGUAUGAGUUUUGUGGAGCUGGCAGAUAUGACCGAGGAGGAAUGGACCCUGUUUAUGGAGAAAUUUCAGGAACUGCUGUACCCAGCAUUUGCCAAACGCAAAUCUGUUACCUUUGGUCAGAGGCAGAGACAGAGACAGAGGCUUGGUACUUCAUGCCAGUUUUGAGAUAUGUGAUACCGGUAUGAGAUAAAGAAU